rnacentral:rRNA from 1 species
UACGGAGGGUCCAAGCGUUAUCCGGAAUCAUUGGGUUUAACGGGUCCGUAGGCGGUUUUGUAAGUCAGUGGUGAAAGCCCAUCGCUCAACGGUGGAACGGCCAUUGAUACUGCAAGACUUGAAUUAUUAGGAAGUAACUAGAAUAUGUAGUGUAGCGGUGAAAUGCUUAGAGAUUACAUGGAAUACCAAUUGCGAAGGCAGGUUACUACUAAUGGAUUGACGCUGAUGGACGAAAGCGUGGGGAGCGAACAGG